rnacentral:lncRNA from 1 species
UAUUUCGCCCUGUCUCCGGGGGGAGCAUUUGGAGAGUUGGUAACCUCGGUCUGCCUGCGGCGACGUAGGCUUUCUUUGACGAAUCUCUCUCCAAACUCGAGAUCUUACGCUACGAAAAAUCGGCACCCGACGGUAAAGGCAUUCUACCCUCGAGCGCUUGCAGUACACAAAGUCGUCGCACAGUGGAUCGCGUCAAUAGGAGAGGUCGGACAAAAUUUGGGAACUUUGAACACAUAUCACUCCGUUUAUACAAAACUUUGAGGUUCUGAAAGUGGUUUCCUCGUGAAAUUUUCUCCCAAAAGUACCCAUUCAAGUUUUAAAAUGUGACGAAAUAAACAUCAAAACUUGCCAUUUUAGUCAAAAUUUCUUGUCCGACCUCUCUAAUUGAUUAGAUCCACUGUGCGUCGCUCCUAGAACAUAAGGGCGCACCUCAAUUUCUAGGUGAGCCCUCGUCUUCGUAUGACGCCAUGCUUUCCAGAGCUUAAGUAAAUAUCAAGAUACGUCGGAAACGACCAAGUGAAGCGAUGAUAUGAACACGAAGAGCGGGCCUUCCAGGUGAUUCCCGCUCGGAUGUCUGAUUUUAAUACACAACCAUUCCCAUAAAAAGCGACAUACUUAGUCUACAAACACUCGCAUUGAGUCAAUUCGCAUUUUAGUGUGGAGCUGUUUUCUGUCAUCAUUCUGAUACGACAUUUCCCUGACUUCCCUGUCACAUUUUGGUAAAAUUCCUUGACAAUUAGGAUAUUCCAGAUGCUUGAAAAUAGAUGAAUUGAAAUAGUUCUCAGGCCAAAUUUGUUGUUUGAAACGUCAAACUCCUCCUAGAAAAGAAAAAAAUGUGACUUGACAAAGUUUCCCUGACAUUUCCCGCAUUCCUUGAAUAUGACAACCCUGACUUUAGCCAUAAUUUCGAUAAUUUAGGCGCCCGAGACAAAUAUUUCGGCGGGUUUUGCGGAUGGCGCCAGCAGGAUUCGAACACUGUACGCGGAUUUUUACGGAGAUAGUGCGUGGGUUCGUCCGACGGGUGCACCAUUGAAGCAGCGCUGGAGUCAACGACUGGGACAAUGAGAGCACUGUUAGGUAAGCGAUUGUUGAGCGAUUGCGGAUGUCGCGUCGUCGUCGUUGUCGGCGUCGCACAGCGGAUCGAGUCAAUCAGAGAGGCAGGACAUGACAUAUUCGACUAAAACUGCAAAUUUUGAUGUUUAUUUCGUCAAAUUUUAAAUUUCGAGGGGUGAUUUUUAAAGAAAAUUUUAUAAGUGAACGAAUGGAACCAUUUUUAAGACCUCAAAAUUUUGUAAAAACAGAUUUAUGAGCUUGUAAAGUUUCCAAAUUUUGUCCAACCUCUCCUAUUAAGUCGAUCCCUGUGCGUCGGUCUGGUGUGAAUGCGCCGGGACGCUCGGGCAUUGAGGUGCACCCAGCUCGUGUCCGUCCCUUGUCGCCCGCGCCACCGUUAAGCCGGGUAUUUUUUAUCGGGUCCCCCUACGGUGCCGUGUUACGGAAGUGAACCGUAAGUGGAGUCCGGGAUGAGCCUCGAGACACGUAAGAGCACGUGCUAACCGUGGCUCAUGCAGAAAUGCACUCGUUACUCUGUUCCGUAUCACGGCUGCACAGUCUGACGCCCGACGCGACGCGGACAGCGGACACGCUUCAUUGGAGAAAGCGCUUUAAUUUUUAAUCGAGCUCUCAGUCAGCCGGCUCUUAAUCCCAGCCAACGGUUCGAUUAUAAACUGUCGCAGUCCGAGCCGACGACAUCGACGAACCUUAUUUUCUAUCACGUGACAGACGCCUAGAGCCGAAUUCAUCGACAUGAGUCGAUCGAAAAAUAAAAACGUGAACCGAAGGACAAAUUAUUAAAAAAACCGGUGUCGGAACACGUGAAAAAACACGUGAAAAUAGAGAUACGGCCCUAAGUUAGAGGAGCAACGACAUGACCAAGCACUUAGCCUUGGAAAUUUGAUAAAGUUCCUACAAGAAUGUAGGUAUGCAACCAGUGCCGUCGUUAAGUUACUUUUGUUGCAUAAGUUGUUUUUUGUUAUCAUCUGCUGAUUGAUCGAGUUAUUGAUCUGGCUUACACUUGAACGAAAACGAGCGUUAAAAAAAGGACUUAAAAGUAAUUUAACCACGAGGAAAGUAGUUGGCCGUCUAAAACUGUCACAUCCACCGGACGAUUUGAAAUUUGAUAAAGUUCCUACACGAAGGUAGGUAUGCAACCAGUACCGUCGUUUAGUUACUUCCUUUGCAUAACUUGCUUUUUGUUAUCAUCCAUUGAUUUAUCGAUCUGGAUCACACUUGGAUGAAACCGAGCAUUGAAAAAAUAAAUUAACAAAUAAGUCAACCAUGAGGAAAGCAUUUGGACGUCUAAAACUGUCAUAGGCAUCGGACCAUUAACCCGAAGUUUAUUUGGACGCCUGGCGGGAUUUUUCGCUGUGCCCGACGGCGACGCGACGUGGAGGACCGGCAGCUGCGGCGGCUACGAGUCGGGAGUCGCGUCUCGGCGAAGUUGAAGUUGAGGCUGAAGUUGAGCGUCUCGGAAAUCGGAAGCACGCGCCAUAUGUUUAACAUCUUGCUCGUCUGUUAUUGUUUUAGGGCCGUUUUACGCCAGCGAUUGCAAGCC